GAUGAACGCUGGCGGCGUGCCUAAUACAUGCAAGUCGAGCGAACUGAUUAGAAGCUUGCUUCUAUGACGUUAGCGGCGGACGGGUGAGUAACACGUGAGCAACCUGCCUGUAAGACUGGGAUAACUUCGGGAAACCGAAGCUAAUAACGGAUAGGAUCUUCUCCUUCAUGGGAGAUGAUUGAAAGAUGGUUUCGGCUAUCACUUACAGAUGGGCCGGCGGUGCAUUAGUUAGUUGGUGAGGUAACGGCUCACCAAGGCAACGAUGCAUAGCCGACCUGAGAGGGUGACCGGCCACACUGGGAAUGAGCCACGGCCCAGACUCCGACGGGAGGCAGCUGUAGGGAAUCUUCCGCAAUGGACGAAAGUCUGACGGAGCAACGCCGCGUGAGUGAUGAAGGCUUUCGGGUCGUAAAACUCUGUUGUUAGGGAAGAACAAGUAUGAGAGUAACUGCUCGUACCUUGACGGUACCUAACCAGAAAGCCACGGCUAACUACGUGCCAGCCGCCGCCGUAA
rnacentral:rRNA from 1 species